UUUUUGUAUGUAGGGUGUUUUUUUAUAUUUCUGGCAAGGAUGUGAGCUCUUUGGUUUCUUGACAAAACUGCUGCAGUUUUUCUUGGAAAUCAUAAUUUGGACGCAGAACUGCAGCUCAUAAAAUAAGCCAUAGUUCCCAUGGUAUGCUGCGUCGCCUGAAUACAGAGAAACUGAUAAACCUGGCUUUAUGGAGGACCUGACAGCAGCCUUCCAGUGCCUCUGAGGAGGUUACAGAGCAGACAGAGCAAGGCCCUUUACAGCACUGCAUGGCAGGAGGUUGAGAAGCAAUGGACAUAAACCAGAACAACAGAGGUUUAGGUUGGCUGUGAGGGGAAAAACUUUCUCCUCAUUAGGCUAGUCAAGCAGAGUUUGGCCAGAGAGGUUGUGUAGUCUCCACCUGUGGAGAUUUUCACAGCCUGACUGGAUAAAGCUCUGAGCAAUGUGGCCUGACCCCAGUGCUGACCCUGCUUGGAGCAGGAGAGGCGACUACAGCCUUCCCGGUCCCUCCCAGCCUGUGCUAUCCUGUGAUCCUCCUGUAUGUAGAACGACUAUGAUGAAACACUCUGUCCUCUGAUGAAGAUGAUUGAACUUUUUGGCUGCAACUAAAGACACCUGGUUAAUAUGAAGUGAUGAAAGCUGGAAUUGGAAGAACAUCUCUAUAGAGGAUGAAGAAUGAAGAUAGUGGGGAGGUGCUUUGGCACAGAAUACUUUCUCACAGGUAGACUCGUGAGUAAGAGCAAAAUCAACAAAAAAAUUAAAAUGACAUCUGGGUGGGUGUGAUUUCUCUUUAUUCUAAUCUAGUUUGUAAGCUAAAACUAGAACAAACUUUUCCUGUGAAUCUAGAAGGAAAGGUUUGAGUAGACCUCAUUUUGUAUUUUGAGAUUAAAUUACCUUUGUGCUUUCUGGAUUUGUGAUUUAAUCCAUCUGUUUUGGAGAGAAGCCUGAAACUAAUAUGAUCAUAGAGAGUGGAAGAGAGGGCUGUGGCCAGUUUGCGUGAGUGAAACUGGGGACUGGAGUGGAACUCCAGUUUGGGUGUCUAGUAGGUGGUUGCUGGAUGGGAACUCAUUUUGAUUAUUACUGAGCUGAGUAGCAAUCAUUCAGUGCAUAAAUCAUACUGAACUAGUCGGUCAUCCUAAUGUGUUAAUGUCUGUCUUUUAGGGACUAUGUUUUAACAAAGCAGUGUUUCUUCUAAUCAGUACAUACUGUAUUUUUGUGUGCUCAGGAUAAAACAUGUGUGACCUUGAUUUAAAAUAAAUACAUCACUACAAGAUCA
rnacentral:lncRNA from 1 species